rnacentral:lncRNA from 1 species
UCUCUGGCUAGAAGAGUUCUAAGGGAAACUGUCCUAAAUUUAACUCUUGAAACUCUUUUUAUGAGAGGUAAAAGUAAAAGUAAAAGCAAAAUUUUUGUCUCCAUACUCAGUCUGUUGAUCUAUUUCUAUUCCAUUAUUAUAUUUCAUAGUUAGAUCAUAGCUUAAAUUUCUUACUUAUAACUAAAUGUAAAUUUUGAAAUAAAAAUCCUUUUUAUUUAUAUUUACAAACACAAUCUCUCAAACUUGUAGAUCUUAAGCCCUAUUGGAUGAUUUCCAUCGUGUUGACAAUUUAAAAGUUAAUUUUUUUUUUCCGAUUUUUUGAUUUAUUUUUUGGGUAUUGAUUUCGCCUGUAUCUAAGUUGGAUUAACUUUGAGAUAAACGUUCCUUUGACAAUAUUUCUUCAGCAAACUUUUCAUUUAUAUAUGCACUAACAUGGAUUUAGAAAAUUAUUAUGAAUGUCUCGAACAUAGGACAGUAGAAGAAUGAAUUUGCACUGGCUUCUCUACAUCAGUCUUUCACUUUUGGUAAUGAUACCAAUGGCGGUCGCAGUACCCUUGGCUAAGCCAAAUUGCACAGAAAAGUGUGGAAAUGUCAUCAUUCCCUAUCCCUUCGGAAUUGGACGGAACUGUAGCGCCAAUUCAUCGUAUACGAUCAGCUGUAAAAACCUCACAACACCUUUCUUAAGCGGCAUAAAUCUAGAAGUGAUAGAAAUUUCAUUGGAGAACGGUACAAUUACUCUGAAGCAGCCUGUGUCACCCAUGAAAUGC